rnacentral:rRNA from 1 species
GACGAACGCUGGCGGCGUGCCUAAUACAUGCAAGUCGAGCGAAUCAAUAGGAGCUUGCUCCUGUUGGUUAGCGGCGGACGGGUGAGUAACACGUGGGCAACCUGCCUGUAAGACUGGGAUAACACCGGGAAACCGGUGCUAAUACCGGAUAAUCCUCUUCCUCUCAUGAGGAAAAGCUGAAAGUCGGUUUCGGCUGACACUUAUAGUUGGGCCCGCGGCGCAUUAGCUAGUUGGUGAGGUAACGGCUCACCAAGGCGACGAUGCGUAGCCGACCUGAGAGGGUGAUAGGCCACACUGGGACUGAGACACGGCCCAGACUCCUACGGGAGGCAGCAGUAGAGAAUCUUCCACAAUGGACGAAAGUCUGAUGGGGCAACGCCGCGUGAGCGAUGAAGGCCUUCGGGUCGUAAAGCUCUGUUGUUAGGGAAGAACAAGUACCGGAGUAACUGCCGGUGCCUUGACGGUACCUAACCAGAAAGCCACGGCUAACUACGUGCCAGCAGCCGCAGUAACAC